GAUGAAGAACGUAGAAAAUGCGAUACUUGGUGUGAAUUGCAGAAUCCCGUGAACCAUCGAGUUUUUGAACGCAAGUUGCGCCCGAAGCCUUUUGGCCGAGGGCACGUCUGCCUGGGCGUCACGCAUCGCGUCGCCCCCCACAAUUCUCCGUAAAGGGAACAUGUGUUUUGGGGGCGGAUAUUGGUCUCCCGUGCUCAUGGCGUGGUUGGCCGAAAUAGGAGUCCUUUCGAUGGACGCACGAACUAGUGGUGGUCGUAAAAACCCUCGUCUUUUGUUUCGUGCUGUUGGUCGCAAGGUAAACUCUUUAAAAACCCCAAUGUGUCGUCUCUUGACGACGCUUCGACCGCGACCCCAGGUCAGGCGGGACUACCCGCUGAGUUUAAGCAUAUCAAUAAGCGGAGGA
rnacentral:misc_RNA from 1 species